UGGGGAAUAUUGGACAAUGGGGGCAACCCUGAUCCAGCAAUACCGCGUGGGUGAAGAAGGCCUUCGGGUUGUAAAGCCCUUUAGGUGGGGAAGAAGGUUAUAGGUUGAUAACGCCUAUAAUUUGACGGUACCCACAGAAUAAGCACCGGCUAACUCUGUGCCAGCAGCCGCGGUAAUACAGAGGGUGCAAGCGUUAAUCGGAUUUAUUGGGCGUAAAGGGCGCGUAGGUGGUAAAGCAAGUAGGAUGUG
rnacentral:rRNA from 1 species